ensembl:lncRNA
GGGGGCGCGCGGAGAGCUGCCGGAGCAGAGCGGAGCGCAGGCAUCUUCCGCAAUCCAUUCAUGCACUGAAGCGCGUGCAGAGCUGCUGCUCGCUGCCAUUGUUACUCGCGGGCGGUGUGGGAGCCGAGCCUCCACUCUGGCGAGAUAAAUGGCCUCUGACAGCCCCUCCUCGCCAAGAGAGCUCCUCGGAUUUCACAGCGCAGCGGCUCUCAGGUCUGUGCCUCGCUCGCUUCCCGUUAGUGGCCUGAGGUCUUCAUUGGAAACUCAAGAGACCAGAUGAAUGCAGGAGCCUGGCUUCCUCAUACUCAGCGUAUAAGUGGCAGAGGAUUCUCAAUUCUCUGGCACAGUUUCCACACACUUGGAGCUCCUCUGUCACCUUGUGAUACAGCCAGGGGACCCUCACCAGGACACCAGCACCAUGUUGUUCGGACCUUCCUACCACCAGGAUUG